GCAGAGGGACAGGCGACCGCUGCACGCGGUGCCCUUCAGGGCAUCGGGUGGGGAGGAAAGUCCGAACUCCGGAGGGCAGUGCGCCGGGUAACCCGCGGUCGGGGCGACCUGAAGGAAAGUGGCACAGAAAACAUCCCGCCUCCCGGCGUGCCGGUUAACGGUUCGCCGGGCGGUAAGGGUGAAAAGGUGCGGUAAGAGCGC
rnacentral:RNase_P_RNA from 1 species